UAGUCCACGCUGUAAACAAUGAGUGUUAGGUGUCUGGGAGAACCUGGGUGCCACAGCAAACGCAAUAAACACUCCGCCUGGGGAGUACGCACGCAAGUGUGAAACUCAAAGGAAUUGACGGGGACCCGCACAAGCAGCGGAGCAUGUGGUUUAAUUCGACGCAACGCGAAGAACCUUACCAAGUCUUGACAUAACUUUGCAAAACUUUAGAGAUAAAGACAAUUGACUUCGGUCAACAAAGCUAC
rnacentral:rRNA from 1 species